rnacentral:rRNA from 1 species
UUGGCGGACGGGUGAGUAACGCGUGGAAAACCUGCCGUAUACUGGGGGAUAACACUUAGAAAUAGGUGCUAAUACCGCAUAAGCGCACAGCUUCGCAUGAAGCGGUGUGAAAAACUCCGGUGGUGUAAGAUGGACCCGCGUCUGAUCAGCUUGUUGGCGGGGUAACGGCCCACCAAGGCGACGAUCAGUAGCCGGCCUGAGAGGGCGGACGGCCACAUUGGGACUGAGACACGGCCCAGACUCCUACGGAAGGCAGCAG